GUCCGUGAACUGAGGGGAAAUGUCUCCCCCUUCAGAUCCGGCAGCGGGUAAUCCCGCUUAUUAUCGCAAGAAGGAG
rnacentral:ncRNA from 1 species